rnacentral:rRNA from 1 species
CCUACGGGAGGCAGCAGUGAGGAAUAUUGGACAAUGGGCGCAAGCCUGAUCCAGCCAUGCCGCGUGCAGGAAGACGGUCCUAUGGAUUGUAAACUGCUUUUGUACGGGAAGAAACACUCCUUCGUGAAGGAGCUUGACGGUACCGUAAGAAUAAGGAUCGGCUAACUCCGUGCCAGCAGCCGCGGUAAUACGGAGGAUCCAAGCGUUAUCCGGAAUCAUUGGGUUUAAAAGGGUCCGUAGGCGGUUUAGUAAGUCAGUGGUGAAAAGCCCAUCGCUCAACGGUGGAACGGCCAUUGAUACUGCUAGACUUGAAUUAUUAGGAAGUAACUAGAAUAUGUAGUGUAGCGGUGAAAAUGCUUAGAGAUUACAUGGAAUACCAAUUGCGAAGGCAGGUUACUACUAAUGGAUUGACGCUGAUGGACGAAAGCGUGGGUAGCGAACAGGAUUAGAUACCCUGGUAGUCCACGCCGUAAACGAUGGAUACUAGCUNUUGGGGGCAACUUCAGUGGCUAAGCGAAAGUGAUAAGUAUCCCACCUGGGGAGACGUUCGCAAGAAGUAGAAGUUACAAAGAAAGUUAGUUAGGCGNGNGAGNGCGAGGACGACGACGAGGGAGGAGG